CAAGGGAUAGCGGUGCUUGAUUCAGGUAAGUGGCUGAAGGGGACACGUGAGGAAAAGGGGGUGACCUAUUAACCCUUUAGUGCCAGGAAAACUGCUUUUAUAGUAUCACUAUGGAAUUUGCUCAUUUCAUUCUGGUAUUACCGUGCCCCUUCAUUAUCAAAUGAAGAAUAAUUAAGGCUGUAGAAGUAGAGCACUGUUUGAAGCUUGAAAAGAACACAAUCAAAACUUUACUGCUAUGAAUAAGUGAUA